rnacentral:lncRNA from 1 species
UGGCUUCUCUGCAUUUACAGGGAUUUCAAAAUGAGGAGUGUAUGGAUAGGGUUCCGGAACUCUGAAAGUGAGCUCUGGGAUAAUACUGGUUGUGAUUGGUUUGGAACAAGGUUCGUUGGAUGAUCUGUGGAGUGUAGUGGGUGGAGUUGCCACAAAAAUAGGAGCAACUUGUGGAGGAGGGUGUGGAACAACUUUGGGUGGUGAAGCUGGUGGUGCCUGGGAGGUUGUGCCUAGUAUUAUUGGUAGAUGGGGAAGAUUUAGGGUGGAUCAGUGGCAGAGGGAUCAUGUGAUUGGGCUUGUGGUGGGGUGAAGGUCGGGUUGGGGGGAUAAGC